AUUGAACGCUGGCGGCAGGCCUAACACAUGCAAGUCGAGCGAGUGGCGGACGGGUGAGUAAUGUAUGGGGACUGCCCGAUAGAGGGGGAUAACUACUGGAAACGGUAGCUAAUACAGCAUACUAUCGGAUAACCCAUAUUGGAUUAGCUAGUAGGUGAGGUAAUGGCUCACCUAGGCGACGAUCCCUAGCUGGUCUGAGAGGAUGAUCAGCCACGCUGGAGCUGAAACACGGCCCAGACUCCUACGGAGGCAGCAGUGGGGAUUAUUGCACAAUGAGCGCAAGCCUGAUGCAGCCAUGCCGCGUGUAUGAAGAAGGCCCUAGGGUUGUAAAGUACUUUCAGUCGGGAGGCGUUACCGACAGAAGAAGCACCGGCUAACUCCGUGCCAGCAGCCGCGGUAAUUC
rnacentral:rRNA from 1 species